rnacentral:lncRNA from 1 species
GUAGACAUCACCCAUAGUGAACAUUUUUCUUCUUGUUCCUAAAAUUGGAAUGAAAUGAGGAAUAACACAGAGAAGUAAGAAACAGAAGGAAAGAAGUAAGCUGAAGGAAACGUGGGAGGGAGAAGAUUUAAAAAGAAACUAAAAGAAAAAAGAAAAAAAAGAAGCAUAUCCAACUAGAUGACAGUUCAUCACAAACGACAACGGGCGGGCUGCUGAUGUAGGAAAGUUCCGAGGGAGGAAACGGUGCUAUAACCACAGGCAUUCACAGCCUACAUGUAUGAGAAGCGAUGUUGGCCAGCUUUCUAAAGUUGAGUCUAGAAGGCAAGAGGAAGAUAGCUGAACAGAGAGAAAUAACAGCUGCCCAAGUAUGGGACUCACCGGAAAGCUUCUUCAUAAAGUGACGAAUUGGAAGAAGACCCUGGGCACCAGAUAGGAGCUGAGACUUCCAGGAAUAAAUCCUAUUACAGCCUGGGGAAAAACAGAGUCAUGGAGAGAGGAGACCAAUGAGGAGAGUAAAGGACAAUUAUUAGUCUUAACUUCCAAUGAAGCAAGUAGGUCAGUUGCCAGCUGCCGUGUGAGUCUGCUCACCCAGAAGCCUGCUCAAUGUGGCAGUACAAGAAAAGAGAAGAGGCCAUGUCUGAGACACACAUUGUGAAACCUGCACUGGUGAUGGGACCCUCUAAUUUGGUCAGACGGUAUGGCAACAUAAGUCAGUCCAGCUUUUGGCUGACACAAACAAGGAGUUACGCUCAAGUGCGCUGGAGCGUUCCCAUGAGCUGCCUGUUUUUGGUUUUAAUAAGGCUCCAUCUCUCGAGGUGUAUUAACGGUAAAUCAUUUUUGCUAAUUUAAAAACUAGGAAACAAAUGGAAACCUUGAGGUUUUUCCCCACAACAUGGCUACUUCUAAUAUCAAGAUUGCCAGAGAGGUUUAGGGGAUGGGACCAUGGCUGUGAGAAGGAAUCGAAAAAGUGUUUUGAGGUGGGGAAGUAUUUUAAUAAGUGGAUUAAUCUCUGUGGUUGCACAGCCGAAGAAACCGGGCCAGUGACUUCAAGGUAGAAGUCCUCAGAAACUUCCUAGUCAAGUCUCUCUUUAAAACAGAAGAAGAAAGCGAGGCUAUGAGAUAACAUGGGCACCUGCCUAAAAAGUAUGCCUACUGCAUACUACAUGGGAGGUUGCUGACUGUUCCCAAGGGGUACUUGAAUUGUCUGCAUGUAUUUCAUGUUUGUUUGUUUUGCUGGUAGGAGUACUAAAAAGUUAUAGAGGCUCUUGGCGGAGGGGGGGGGUGUCUUCUCCUCUUGUAAUGUUGGCCAUAAUAUUCUGUUCUCUAACCAAAAUUGCUUUAUAUGACUUCCCUUCCUUUCCAUCAACUUUACACAGCUUAUUUACAGGGCCAAUCGCAGCCCAACAUAAUUUUAUCUAAUGUCUCCCUUCAAACUAGAGAAGCUAAUAGUACUAAUCUCAUUGGAUCUACACAAGGAACACUUUAGUUCAUGUCUCAAAGUAUUCAGAAUAGAGCCUGCUGUACAAGGUUUGUGUAAACUUUGAGCUGUUUUAGAGACGUUGGUAUAAAGGGAGAAAAAAGCUGUUUUCUAAAAUUUUUAUCAUGCCCAAGACUGCCUGUUCUUAUAUCUGCUGGCAAAGGUCUGCUUUGAGGUCCUGACAUUAAUUAUAUUCUCAAGAAUUUCAUAGUAAGCCCCCAAAAUGGAUAUAGGAUGCUGUGAGCAAGGGUCAAAGAAAAGAAAAGAAAAGAAAAGAAAAGAAAAGAAAAGAAAAGAAAAGAAAAGAAAAGUCAUAGAGUCAUGUGUUAAGCAAUUGGUUAACAAUGGUAGCUUAGGCUUAUUAAGCAAGCAGCAUCUCUUACUGGGAGGGAGG